rnacentral:rRNA from 1 species
AACGAACGCUGGCGGCAUGCCUAACACAUGCAAGUCGAACGAGACCUUCGGGUCUAGUGGCGCACGGGUGCGUAACGCGUGGGAACCUGCCCUUAGGUUCGGAAUAACUCCCCGAAAGGGGUGCUAAUACCGGAUAAUGUCUUCGGACCAAAGAUUUAUCGCCUUUGGAUGUGCCCGCGUUGGAUUAGCUAGUUGGUAGGGUAAAAGCCUACCAAGGCGACGAUCCAUAGCUGGUCUGAGAGGAUGAUCAGCCACACUGGGACUGAGACACGGCCCAGACUCCUACGGGAGGCAGCAGUGGGGAAUAUUGGACAAUGGGCGAAAGCCUGAUCCAGCAAUGCCGCGUGAGUGAUGAAGGCCGUAGGGUUGUAAAGCUCUUUUACCCGGGAUGAUAAUGACAGUACCGGGAGAAUAAGCUCCGGCUAACUCCGUG